GACGUAGGGCGCGAGCGUUGUCCGGAAUUAUUGGGCGUAAAGAGCUCGUAGGCGGUGUGUCGCGUCGGCCGUGAAAACCUGCAGCUUAACUGUGGGCUUGCGGUCGAUACGGGCAUCACUGGAGUUCGGCAGGGGAGACUGGAAUUCCUGGUGUAGCGGUGAAAUGCGCAGAUAUCAGGAGGAACACCGGUGGCGAAGGCGGGUCUCUGGGC
rnacentral:rRNA from 1 species